GUGACAGGGUGUACCAGGCCCUUUGUGGCCUUGGUGGAGACCCUGUGAUCCUAAAACAUCCUGCUCCAGGAAGGAGCAGCACAGGAUGGAGACUUGAGGAGCAAACAUUAGAGUCAGAAAUUCUGCUAGAGCUUAUCAUGAGGAUAAUCCAUUCAACACUGUACUUGGCCAAGGGUUAUUGGCCUAGUGGACGGGGGAAACAAGCUAUAUCACAUCUACUGGAUUUUUAGUAAGACUUCUGAAACAGUCCACCUGACCUUCUCAUAAGCAAACUAGGGAAAUGCAGUCCAAGUUAAAUUACUAUAAGGAGAGCUGGAUCUUUUAAUGAGCGGCUGUGCCUAGCAUCCAAGCAGUGCUGCUGCCUGCCAAUCAGUUUCGUUCAUCAUACUAAAACCUAGGCUGCUGCAAACCCCAUCUCACAACUGCAUCUGAAGAAGCCCUUUGUGUUUUCAUGCUGUGCAAAGUUGCUUAGAAUGUGACUUUUACAGAGUCCGCUUUUGGCUCCGGAAUCUCUUCUAGCAGCAGUA